AGUGAACGCUGGCGGUAGGCCUAACACAUGCAAGUCGAACGGCAGCACAGUAAGAGCUUGCUCUUACGGGUGGCGAGUGGCGGACGGGUGAGGAAUACAUCGGAAUCUACUUUUUCGUGGGGGAUAACGUAGGGAAACUUACGCUAACACCGCAUACGACCUACGGGUGAAAGCAGGGGAUCUUCGGACCUUGCGCGAUUGAAUGGGCCGAUGUCGGAUUAGCUAGUUGGCGGGGUAAAGGCCCACCAAGGCGACGAUCCGUAGCUGGUCUGAGAGGAUGAUCAGCCACACUGGAACUGAGACACGGUCCAGACUCCUACGGGAGGCAGCAGUGGGGAAUAUUGGACAAUGGGCGCAAGCCUGAUCCAGCCAUACCGCGUGGGUGAAGAAGGCCUUCGGGUUGUAAAGCCCUUUUGUUGGGAAAGAAAAGCAGCAGGUUAAUACCCCGCUGUUCUGACGGUACCCAAAGAAUAAGCACCGGCUAACUUCGUG
rnacentral:rRNA from 1 species